rnacentral:rRNA from 1 species
GACGAACGCUGGCGGCGUGCUUAACACAUGCAAGUCGAGCGGUAAGGCCCUUUCGGGGGUACACGAGCGGCGAACGGGUGAGUAACACGUGGGUGACCUGCCCUUAGCUCUGGGAUAAGCCUGGGAAACUGGGUCUAAUACCGGAUAUGACCUCAUGACGCAUGUUGUGGGGUGGAAAGCCUUGUGCGGCUAGGGAUGGACCCGCGGCCUAUCAGCUUGUUGGUGGGGUAAUGGCCUACCAAGGCGACGACGGGUAGCCGGCCUGAGAGGGCGACCGGCCACACUGGGGACUGAGACACGGCCCAGACUCCUACGGGAGGCAGCAGUGGGGUAAUUUUGCGCAAUGGGCGAAAGCCUGACGCAGCGACGCCGCGUGAGGGAUGACGGCCUCGGUU